AGACAUGCAAGUCGAACGAAAAAACUGAUUAGUUUACUAAGAUGUUUUUUAGUGGCGGACGGGUUAGUAACACGUGAGUAACAUGCCUUGAAGUGGGGGAUAGCCUUUCGAAAGGAAGAUUAAUACCGCAUGUGGCUCCCCUUUAGUGGGGUAGUCAAAGAUGCCUUCGGGUGUCGCUUUAAGAUUGGCUCGCGGCCUAUCAGCUUGUUGGUGAGGUAACGGCUCACCAAGGCUACGACGGGUAGCUGUUCUGAGAGGAAGAUCAGCAACACUGGAACUGAGACACGGUCCAGACACCUACGGGUGGCAGCAGUCGAGAAUCAUUCACAAUGGACGAAAGUCUGAUGGUGCAACGCCGCGUGGAGGAUGAAGGCCCUAGGGUCGUAAACUCCUGUCAUAUAAGAGUAAGGCAUGAUCGUUAAUAGCUUUCAUGUUUGAUAGUAUUAUAAGAGGAAGGGACGGCUAACUUCGUGCCAGCAGCCGCGGUAAUACGAAGGUCCCGAGCGUUAUUCGGAAUCACUGGGCGUAAAGAGUACGUAGGCGGUUUGGUAAGUCAGGUGUGAAAUCCCGAAGCUCAACUUCGGAACUGCAUCCGAUACUGCCAGACUUGAGUAAUGGAGAGGCAGGUGGAAUUCUCGGUGUAGCAGUGAAAUGCGUGGAUAUCGAGAGGAAGACCAAUGGCGAAGGCAGCCUGCUGGACAUUUACUGACGCUGAGGUACGAAGGCUAGGGUAGCGAAAGGGAUUAGAUACCCCUGUAGUCCUAGCAGUAAACGGUGCGCGCUUGGUGUAGGAGGACUCGACCCCUUCUGUGCCGGAGCUACGCGUUAAGCGCGCCGCCUGGGGAGUACGGUCGCAAGAC
rnacentral:rRNA from 1 species